rnacentral:lncRNA from 1 species
AUUGCUGUGUGAGUUAACUGAGCUUCAACCUGAGCUUCGGUGGGAAGGAACCAAGGCAAAGCUCUGCUAGGUAUACGGCUGUGGGAUUGUGUAGGUUUGAGAAGAGUUUGUGAUAGUGGCCGUCUCUAGGCUGUCUGAAAAGUUGGUUUUAUGUCUUUAUUGUUAGAAUGUGUGAGUGAAGUGUCAGAAAGGAGGAGAGAUUUCCUAUUCUUCCUCCUUCCAGCCUAGAGAGUUGCUUUGGAAGGAGUUUGUGGUGGAUUUCUUGAUUGACACUUGGUGCAGAUUCAGACCUUGUGGUGUCUGGGCUGUCCUUUGUAGCUUCCAUAACCUUGCAAGCUUCCUCCACGUAAGAUGCUUGGGCUGCGCUGAGUCACUUUCUUUAGCUUGAGUUUGAAUUGUAUUGAAACAUUUAGUUUUGCCUUUUUUUUUUUUCCUCCCUUUAGGUGAAGGAAACAUUAAAUUUAAAGGUGUGUGAGGAAUUUUCUUCUUUUAACUUCUUUAUCCUCCCAGGAGGGUGGGUGGGAAAGGGGAGGGGUUAGACUGAGACCGUCUUGCUUCUCUAGGAGGAGGCCAGGGUCAGUCCUAGGCAUGACCCAGCACAGCUUGUUGGACUCUAGUGUUGUCAGGAAGGGAAGGAAACUCACUUGCCUGUGGAUUUCUGUCCGAGAACUUCCGGCCAUACAGGGUUUCUCCGAGUUCUCGUGGACUCCCUAAAGCCAUAAGAAUAGCUUUCAUGUGCAAAUAUUGAGUUUCCAGAAAAAAGGGAGUCUCUGGAUCUAGCUGGAUUUGAGUCCCAGCCCCUCCAGCACUGACUGACUGUGUGACCUGCUGUAUAUUUUUCAUAGACCCAUGGUUCAGUUUUCUCAUCUGUAAAGAAGGAUAAUCAUGAUGGCAUAGUCUGUAGAGUUAUUGAAAUGAAACGCGUCAACAUUAGAUAGUCAUGUGUAUUUAUACACGUACAUUUUGACUCCGAGCUUGCACUUGGAGAAUGAUUUAGCACUCCCUGUACUUAACUGUUCAGCUCUACCAAUGGUUUUUGUUUUAUAAAACUGCCAUCACAGCCAGGAUCAUGGCAUUGAUUGAACUUACUAGCCUUGGUCAGCUUGCUUGUUUUCCUUGUGCUCAGACAUCUGUAAGGAAGGAGAUUGACUUUUGUUCAUUUGUUACUGUCUGGGGUUACAGAGAGCAUUUCCACAUCUUUUCUUUAAUUUUUGAGAGCUACUCAUGCAUCUUUCAUUUCUAAGACGUUAUCAUACAAAAGGUCAUAGAAACAGGAUAAUAGACAUUGUAACCCAAGGGACCAGGCAGAGUGGUGCAUGUCUAACUUUAUCAUCCAGGAAGUGGAGUCAGGAGAACUGGGAGUUUAAGGCCAUUCUAGGACUUUUUCUCAGUGUCAGACACGUGGGGAUGUAAGCUUGGGUUUCCCAUGAUGGUAUGGGAAGGGACAACCAUAUUACCCAUGAGAUUGGUCCCCACCUUUUGGGUUAGCUUCCUUCCCUUCGGACAGUGGUUCUCAACGUUCCUCAUACACCACCCUUUAAUACAGUUCCUCAUGCUGUGGUGACCCCCAAUCAUAAAAUUACUUUUUGUUGCUAUUUCAUAACUGUAAUGUUGUUACUGUUGUGAAUCGUAAUGCAAAUAUCUCACAUGCAACCCCCUGUGAAAGGGUCACAGCCCACAGAUUGAGAAAUACUAUCUUAGGGGCUACUCCAGUGCCUGUACCAGUAGUCCUGCUCUUAUGGUUGUCAUCUCCUCUGAAACUGGAGUUAGGACAAUUUGUGAGCCACCAUGUGGGUGGUAGGAAUUGAACCUGCGUCUUCUGUAAGAGCAGCUAGUACUCUAGUUCAACUUACUUAUACUUGUUUUUAAUAGCUUUAAGGCUUUAAUUCGUAGCCUAUAAAGAGAUUUAAGGACAGACCAAGAAAGCUCACUUUAUCUUUGUAACAUUCACGUGGAACAUCUUGCUUGGUACAGCAAAACCAAGCUAGAUUUUUUUUUUUUUUUUUUACUAUGUUGGGGAGCAAAAGUUGGAGAUUGUGCUUGCGGACAUUGCUUGUCCUCAGAGCCUCUCCUGCCCCAGGCGCUAAGGUUGCCUGGCUCAGCCCUGCUCACGCUCAGAGCUGGAUCUCAUCGUAAAUGGGGUCGUGGCUUAUGAGUAGGUGAGGUCUGUUGUGUUUUCCCUGUUCUAUCCCCCCACCCCACCCCACCCCAGGUCUCAAGGCAUUGCAGGGAGGUUUUUAAGUAUGCAAUAGAGGUUUUUUUAUUUAGGUCAUGAAGAGGGGAGUUGGAGUGGGGGGUAGGGACAGACUGACCAGCCAUGGACACGUGGAGAGAAAUGGGGGAAGGGAAAGAGGAGAGAAGGGACAGAGAAGGAAGAGUAAGAGAGUAAGAGCCAUUCCGGGGAGAUUGUGUAGUUUGUUCCAUCAUUUUGAAAGUUACUUCACCAUUUUCCUAUACUUUUUAUGUGUAAAACGUAAUGUUUCUUAAGUUUGAAAUUGCCUUUAAAAAUAAUUGUAUUGGCAAUCUUACCAUCUUCACAGCAUAUGACCCACUUUACCCAAUUUCUCCUAUGUACAGGAAGUGUGGACACUUUGUCAUCUGUGUUUUAAAGUGACUUUUGCAAGACUGGAUACAAGAUAUUCCUUGGUUUUGAUACUGGACUUUGAUUUUACCUUUAGACGAAUACAUUCUUCUAUAAAAUCAUUUGCUGAAUGAAAAGUUGUCUUUAUACCUUUAAUUAAAGCCCUAGUUGUGAAAUACAGAAAUAAACUAUUUUAGUUCAGUCACAAACAGAAGUGUGAUUACUCCUACAGUGGGGUGGGGGGCAGCAUGCUGUUGCUUUAGGCUGUUGUUCUUCUCUCCCCUCUGCAGUUAUUAGGAGGGAGACGAAGGUACCAGCUCCUGGCCGCCCCGGCCAGCACUCUACAGUGCUGGAGCUGCUGUGAUCGCUGUGUGCAUACUGAGUCCCACUGGCUCUUCCCGGCCAUAAAGGGUUCUGGGCUUUCUUCUCAUGUUCCACAGGAACUAUUGUUUUGAAUCUUGUAAUGUUUUGUUGCUAUUUUGAGCUCUUAUUGUACACAGUAAAUUCUAUCUAUUAAAUUCCAUAUAGGUUUGAAAGAUAACUAUGGAUACUCAACUGCUUCCCCCCCCCCCCACUCUUUUU